GACGAACGCUGGCGGCGUGCCUAAUACAUGCAAGUUGAACGCUUCUUUCUUAUCGAACUUCGGUUCACCAAGAAAGAGGAGUAGCGAACGGGUGAGUAACACGUGGGUAACCUGCCCAUCAGCGGGGGAUAACACUUGGAAACAGGUGCUAAUACCGCAUAAUGCUUUUUCUCACAUGAGAGAAAGCUGAAAGGCGCUUUUGCGUCACUGAUGGAUGGACCCGCGGUGCAUUAGCUAGUUGGUAGGGUAACGGCCUACCAAGGCAAACGAUGCAUAGCCGACCUGAGAGGGUGAUCGGCCACACUGGGACUGAGACACGGCCCAGACUCCUACGGGAGGCAGCAGUAGGGAAUCUUCGGCAAUGGACGAAAGUCUGACCGAGCAACGCCGCGUGAGUGAAGAAGGUUUUCGGAUCGUAAAAACUCUUUGUUAGAGAAGG
rnacentral:rRNA from 1 species